rnacentral:rRNA from 1 species
AUACGGAAGGUCCGGGCGUUAUCCGGAUUUAUUGGGUUUAAAGGGAGCGCAGGCGGAGAUGCAAGCGUGACGUCAAAUUUCGGGGCUCAACCCCGUCUCGCGGCGCGAACUGCGUGCCUUUGUUGCGGGUAGGGGAGGCGGAACUCGUGGGGCAUGGGUGCAAUGCAUAGAUAUCACGAAGAACUCCGAUCGCGAAGGCAGCCUUCCGGCCCGUCAACGACGCUCAUGCUCGAAGGUGCGGGUAUCAAACAGGAUUAGAUACCCUGGUAGUCCGCACAGUAAACGAUGGACACCCGCGGUUUGGCCUGUAUGGCUGAGCCGCCAAGCGAAAGCGUUAAGUGUCCCACCUGGGGAGUACGCCGGCAACGGUGAAACUCAAAGGAAUUGACGGGG